rnacentral:rRNA from 1 species
GACGAACGCUGGCGGCGUGCCUAAUGCAUGCAAGUCGCACGCUUCCCGCUUCGGCGGGGGGCGUGGCGCACGGCUGAGGAACACGUGGGUAUCUCCCCUCCCGUGGGGGAUAACCCACCGAAAGGUGGGCUAAUCCCGCAUUCGCUCGCGUCAGCGAGGAAAGCGGCAACGCGCGGGAGGACGAGCCUGCGGCCCAUCAGGUUGUUGGUGCGGUAACGGCGUACCAAGCCUUUGACGGGUAGCUGGUCUGUGAGGACAACCAGCCAGACUGGGACUGAGACACGGCCCAGACUCCUACGGGAGGCAGCAGCAAGGGAUUUUCCACAAUGGGCGAGAGCCUGAUGGAGCAACGCCGCGUGCAGGACGACGGCCUUCGGGUUGUAAACUGCUUUUGGGGGGGACGAUACGGACGGUACCCCCCGAACAAGCCACGGCUAACUCUGUGCCAGCCGCCGCGGUAAGAC